UCUAGUACUGCUGGACAAUCACAUCAGUGCAGUGAAUGUGCUGUAGCCAGUGUUUUGCCCUCCUUGCUUGUUUGCUUGACCUCAUCUGGUAUUGUAUGGUCCUUUUGGUCGCUACAUGUUGUUAGGAUCUUGUCUCGGUAGGAGGGAGUUAGCCGUCCACAUCUGUGCAGUCACAAGCUUCGUGACAGCUUUUUAUUUAAUUUAAGUACAAAAUUACACUUCAAUAUGAGUAUUUCAGUUAAUUACAGUCACAUGCUUUAUGGUUUUGGAGAGGGAGAAUUGAAAAAGGAUAAUUGAAUUCACAGCAUGGUCGGUAGGCGUCCUUUGGAGAUUGGUUUGGGUUUGUGCUUCACAAUUUCAACUGUGUAUUACAGAAAGCACUCAUCACCCACAGUGAAAAACAUUCCGUGGCUCCCUUUGAAAUGAAAUUAAGUUGUUGCAGCAAGCUAAUAAUGUUUAUCGAUGUUCUAUUGGAAGCUACAUAUGAAAAGUACAUAAUAUUAAGCACCAUAUAUGGUGAUGCAGUGUACUGUUGAAUGUUUGAAAUGCCACCAGUCUAAACUUUUGAGCUGCAGAAUAGAAUAAUAUAGUCCUGAUGGUGUCGUGCGGCUCAAUUAAGAAACAGUUCGCCUGAAAAAAGUGACAAUCGAGGUCCUGAUCUUGGUCAAAUAUGUUAGAAACUUGAAAGUAGCUCCAUCCUGAUUCCGCACCCUUUCCAAUUUGAGUAGAUUAUUUUAUCAUUUCUUGCCGUAAGUAAGUCCAUCUUUCGACUUUGUCUUCAAGUAGCACUUGCACUUUUAAUUUUGAUCAUACAGGACUAAUAUAGUUAUUUUACUGCCAAAUUAAGUGUAGCAUGCCCUGCUAGAUGCAUACUGUUGCUGUUCUGCUUUUGAGCCUGCAACAUAAGGUGCUAAUAUUGAGAACAAUAUUAUCAUUAGAUCUUCCCUAUGCAUGAAAUUCACUUGUGUGGUGGAUUUCUAUGGGUGAAUUAUGAAUGGGCUAGAUUGACAUUAUUUUGUCAUAUUUCCCUUUAUAUUUUGUUUUCUCUACGAAGAGCACAUGUUUUUCCUUACGAUGUAUGGGUUACUAAUCACUUGUUUACACAUUAUGCAGCUAAGAAGUAUUAUCCUGCUAGGCGACGGCCCACCCUCCCUGCACAACCUGGAAAAUCUGGAAAGCCAAUUGUCCUCAAUCAAAAGGCCAGCCUAUCGGAAUACUGCGAGAAGGGUUACAGGUCAUGUCUAGUACUGCUUGACAAUCACAUCAGUGCAGUGAAUGUGCUGUAGCCAGUGUUUUGCCCUCCUUGCUUGUUUGCUUGACCUCAUCUGGUACUGGUAGGGUCUUUUAGGUCACUACAGGUUGUUAGGAUCUUGAGAGGGGAUGAUUCGAAAUAAAUAGGCUCAUCUUUCAUUACUUGCUAUAUAUACGGUUCUGUUGUAUGCUUGCAAAUCUAUUUGAUUUGGUUGCUGUUUGUUCUUGUCUAAUAUGUGUUCGUGUUAGCAAUAUGUUUGUUGGUGCUAUAUUUUCAUUUUGAUGGUAGAAUGUGUGCGUUGUACAUGGUCAAGCGCAUUAGUAAAAGGAGGAAACGGAUGAUUAGAGGAUCUCCACCCAAAAUAAAGCAUUGUGAGUUUUGUGAGUAAUGAGAACCUUAAUUGUCUCUUUUCCGUUAGUCCACUCGCUAGAGCAGGGGCUCCUCUUUGCACUCAGGAUUCAUUAGCGACGACACUGAAUGGCCAUGC
rnacentral:lncRNA from 1 species